rnacentral:misc_RNA from 1 species
AUAUCCAGUGUGUACCUUCUCA